rnacentral:rRNA from 1 species
UAAUGGUGACAGUUGUUAAAGCGGGGGAUCGUAAGACCUCGCGUCUGAAGAGGAGCCUGCGGCAGAUUAGCUAGUUGGUAAGGUAAUGGCUUACCAAGGCGAUGAUCUGUAGCCGGCCUGAGAGGGCGGUCGGCCACACUGACACUGACAUACGGGUCAGACUCCUACGGGAGGCAGCAGUCGGGAAUUUUGGGCAAUGGGCGAAAGCCUGACCCAGCAACGCCGCGUGAAGGAUGAAAUCCCUCGGGAUGUAAACUUCGCAAGAACGGGAAGAAUAAGC